AUGCUCGCUUUGGCAGCACAUGUACUAAAAUUAGAACAAUACAGAGAUUAGCAUGGCCCCUGUGCAAGGAUGACAUAUGCCAAUUCAUGAAGCAUUCCAUAUUUUU